GGUGGCUCAGUGGUAGAGCGCUUGCCUUGCAUGCAUGUGGUAGAGCGCUUGCCUUGCAUGCAUGAGGCCCUGGGUUCGAUUCCUCAGCACCA
rnacentral:tRNA from 1 species